rnacentral:rRNA from 1 species
CACGUAUUUAGCCGUUCCUUUCUGGUAAGAUACCGUCACACACUGAACAAUUACUCUCAGUGCCGUUCUUCUCUUAUAACAGUGUUUUACGAGCCGAAACCCUUCAUCACACACGCGGCGUUGCUCCAUCAGGCUUGCGCCCAUUGUGGAAGAUUCCCUACUGCUGCCUCCCGUAGGAGUAUGGGCCGUGUCUCAGUCCCAUUGUGGCCGAUCAGUCUCUCAACUCGGCUAUGCAUCAUUGCCUUGGUAAGCCAUUACCUUACCAACUAGCUAAUGCACCGCGGGUCCAUCUCUUAGUGAUAGCAGAACCAUCUUUCAAUCAACAACCAUGCGGUUGUUGAUAUUAUACGGUAUUAGCACUUGUUUCCAAAUUGUUAUCCCCUGCUAAGAGGUAGGUUACCCACGUGUUACUCUACCCGUUCGCCACUCUUUGAAUACAAAAAAUCAAAAUCAGAGACAAGCUCAUCAUGUCAAUUAAGCAACAAAGCGUUCGUAC